CCACUUCUCAAUUAGUAAAGCACAAGGCUCUUAACCUUGUGGACGUGGGUUCAAGCCCCAUGAUGGGGG
rnacentral:tRNA from 1 species